rnacentral:miRNA from 1 species
GGAGGGGUCCAGACAGAGGUGAGGCCGGCUCUGACCUCUUUCUUCUCUCCUC